AGGUAGAAUCGAGUAUAUGAAGGUUCACCUCUCCCUUAAUGAAGUUGAUAUCAGCGAAGUGAAAUCGAAAUCUGAAAACAGCCUCUGCAGAAAGAAAAUGCUCAGCUUAAGAUCCAAAGGAAUCAGGAAGCUGGGACUGAAAGAAUGGGAGCAGUGGAAGGGGAGAAGCAGCUAUCAGCUACAGAGGAGAAAGGGAAAUUAGCUGCAGAAGAGCUUCGGAACUACAAACUAUGUGGAAAUGGUUCCUGAACAUGUUUCUGGAGAUGCUGGAAAUGAUUACAAACCUCAGGAAGCAGUUUGGUCAAAGACAAAUCACAGCGACAAGUAUGAAGAUCCCAUUUUAGAGACCCACUUGUAACCAUAAGAAAUAUGAUAAGGAUACAAGGUAAAGAAGAUUUGAAUUUUACAACGAAAGAUCCUCACUGCAGAAUUAGCUGUCACCACAGUUGAGACCAUGUCAACAUGGAGCCCCACAGGCAUUAAAUAAUAAAUCCAAGAUGAUGGAGUGAUGGCUUUGAGCUUUCUGUACUCUCCUCCUCGUGUGAAAUGUAUCUUCUAUGAUUGGGUCAUGUGUAUGAGAAUUCAGUUCUUAUAAUGGGAACCUGGGCCAAACAACACCCUCAACAUGGUGCUUCAUCUGAUGAAAGCCAUUGCACGCCCGGGAGAAGAGUAGAAGAAACACAAGAACAGCUGCAGCAGUCAGAGCUCACCUUCGGAUACCAGGUAGCCUGCACUCUGCCUUAGUAGUUCCUGAGUGCUUCAGCAGAUCUAACGCAGAGGAUCAUAACAGGACACUGAAUCUCUCCACAUGGGUUUUAUUGAUGUGCUGACGGUUUCACAUUGCUCUUUGUGAGAAGGCAUUUCAGGACAACAGGGUAAGAAUAUUUUCUCUCCUCCUCUUGUGCACACCCUGCCACAGCUAAAUGUGGAUGUGUUUCUCUCUCGAGCUCAGGGCUCAUGAUCUGGAGAGGGCAGUGGCGGAGCAGAGCAGGGAGGUCACCUACUUGAA